rnacentral:rRNA from 1 species
ACGUCGUGAGACAGUUCGGUCCCUAUCCUCCGUGGGCGCAGGAGAAUCGAGGGAGGCUGCCCCUAGUACGAGAGGACCGGGGUGGACGGACCUCCGGUGAACCGGUUGUCGACCAACGGCAUGGCCGGGUAGCCGCGUCCGGCGCGGAUAACCGCUGAAGGCAUCUAAGCGGGAAGCCGUUCCCGAGAUCAGUUCUCCUUUCGGUAAGGGCCCAGGUAGACCACCUGGUUGAUAGGCCGCAGGUGCAAGGUCGGCGACGGCCUCAGCCGAGCGGCACUAAUCGCCCGAGCUCUUCUCAUC